AUUGAGAACAGAAUAAGGAAAAGAAUGCGAGCAUUCGCAUUUUCAUUCUUUUUGGGCUCCUCAACACUUCAAACAGAGAAGAAGAAAACAAUCGGCAGAGAGCGGUGAAGAUUGGAAGGAGGCUGUGUAUUAUAUGAUGAUACCGCAACAAUGGGCGUCUCCUUGUGGAAACCAAUGCACGCAGAAAUACGCAGCCCUCACCCAGAUUCCUUGGCGGGUAUUUUGCAAAAAAGGGUGUGAUGCAGAUGGGGAGGCCUGGGAGGAAUGCUUGGAAGAAUGCACUGAGAUAUGCUAUAAGGAUCCUGUAUUUAAGGACCACCAGUGGAGUGCUUACAUUGACCGAUCUCCUGGGUCUGCCAGUUACUCAGAGGAAUGUUUCCAUGCCUGUGUAUCUGGUUGCGGCUUUAAGUUUGAUGUCGAACCAGAGAAAGCUGACAAAAUCCAACCAAACAGGCCUGCAAAGCCAGUGCCUGUUGUUUCAAAACCAUCCCCACGACCUCCAAUCGCUGAAUCCAUUGCCAAAAAUGAAGAUUUACCAAGCACUUCUGCAUAGCAACAUGAUGCAGAUAAACGAGGAAACCUGACGCAACAAAAUUGUAGUCAGUCUGUUUAGGCUGACGUCUCCCAUUGCUAUGUUUUCCCGCACGUGGGCUUCCAUAUUCUGUUGGAUUAUAUAUUAUGACAGUCACUUGUAAGUGCAGUCCUUCCUUGCCUGUGAAAGGACUUUGGUCUCUGACAUAGAUGUUUGUCCUGUAUGCUGAGAGUUGCUAAUUGUCUUCCUUGUUGUAGCUUCCAUUGCUCUGGCUUCAAAAGUUGGAGAAUUUUGUGAAACGAUAAUUUAAUAUAGGGAAUUGGGGAAUUGGGGACCGGUUGUUCUGCUGUAGCUUGCUUUUCUUCUGUGCAUUUACACUGAGCUCGUAAAAGUAUAUUAGCAGGAUUCAUUUCAUUAGGGAUUUGAGAAAUGUAGUUUUCAUUUAUAUAUAUAUAUAUAUAUUGAAAUC